UACGUAGGGCGCAAGCGUUACUCGGAAUUACUGGGCGUAAAGCGUGCGUAGGUGGUUUGUUAAGUCUGAUGUGAAAGCCCUGGGCUCAACCUGGGAAUUGCAUUGGAUACUGGCAGGCUAGAGUGCGGUAGAGGGUAGUGGAAUUCCCGGUGUAGCAGUGAAAUGCGUAGAGAUCGGGAGGAACACCAGUGGCGAAGGCGACUACCUGGACCAGCACUGACACUGAGGCACGAAAGCGUGGGGAGCAAACAGG
rnacentral:rRNA from 1 species